GACGAAGGAUGCAAGCGUUAUCCGGAUUCAUUGGGUUUAAAGGGAGCGUAGGUGGUCUUAUAAGUCAGUGGUGAAAUCUCUGGGCUUAACCCAGAAAUUGCCAUUGAUACUGUAGGGCUUGAGUAUAGAUGCCGUUGGCGGAAUAUGACAUGUAGUGGUGAAAUACAUAGAGAUGUCAUAGAACACCGAUUGCGAAGGCAGCUAACGAAACUAUAACUGACACUGAGGCUCGAAAGUGUGGGGAUCAAACAGG
rnacentral:rRNA from 1 species